UAGAGAUUAAGUUAGAUUAAGUAUUGAUUUCGAGAGAAAUUUUGAAGCAUUAGGGGCUCAACUUUUGACUGGCUUAUAUGAUACGGAGGUGACUUAAAUGGUGUUCUAGGCUACUGUAUUGCCCGCAGUGACCAGAGUGCAAUUUCACUUCCUAUCAUCUUUUUGAUUUAAUGCAUGCUAUGGGCCCUUUAUCAUGAUUAAUGCAUGCCACGUUACUAUUUGGUUUGACCCAACUUUAAGACGUCUCUGACGCAUUAAUUAAACUUGGCAGUAUUGCCGGCUUUCUAGCCUAUUAACUUUGCGCCCUGUGGGGCUUUAACCCUAUUAAUUUAGUCACGUUGGGUCUACCAAGUCAUUUAUUAACAUACUAACCAUUGCACUCAAUUACACUUGCAAACACCUAUGUACCUCUAAACGGCUUCCAAGCCACUUCUAAAUUUACCCCAGCGGUAAUAAAUUAGAAGUAUAACCUCCGGUAUAUCCUCAUACGUCGCAUCUCUUUGCCGUGUGAUUCAAGCCUCCAGUGCAGCCAGCGCGACAUUAUUUCUGCUGUACGCGUUAUUUCAUUUGAGGUUAGAUUGGGAAUAUGCGUUCACUGUCAAGUUUUGUACCGCUGAAUUGGAAUUUCUGAGCAUAAUUGAUCAAAUCGAUUCUCAAGCUUUGGCAUUCAUUAAGUAAGGUUUCUUUUUCUAAUUUCAGUUUCCUCAACUGCAUCCACUGCAGUUCCGGUUUUCUACUUCUCUGGAUCCGAAGCUUAUCCUUUGGAGUUUCAAUAAAAUUGUUAGCAGUUAUGUUUGUAUAAAUUCCUUACA